UUCAGAGACCUUAUACACAGUAGAAAGAAACUGUUCCUUUUCCUAUAUGGUUGUCAGCUUGUAAACUAUUUGAGCUACAGUGCCGGUUCCCAGCAACCACAUCUUGUGCAUUUUUCGGUUGAGCUGGGCUCCUCCUUCCUAUGUGGCAGAAGCAGUCUUGUACCUCCCACGUUCAUCACCUGUUGUGUCUUACUAAGACCUGGAAUGGAAGGAAGGAAAUGGUGGAAUGGUGGAAUAUCUUGGUCUGAAGUCCAUAGCAGGGCUGGAGGUCGGAGCCCUUAGGAAGCUGAGUUCAUCUGCCUUCCAGGCUCAGCUGGAUUCAUUUGGAUUGGAGAUGGAUCAUCCAUCGUGAGGCCUUUCUUCCAUGGUUUCAUCGGGCCAGAGGAUUGUGGCAUACGUGGCGAGUCUCUGCACCGGAACCCUUAGGUUGCUCUUUGCCUGAACACAAAAGAUUUUCCCAGCCGAGGCCCUCCCCCGUCUCCCUCCCAGCAGCGGGAGGCUGAGGAGAAGCUUCCCCUUUCCGCGGCGGCGAGGACACCCGCACGCCCUGCGCUCCGCGCUGCGCCUUCCACCCGCCCAGCCCGGCCUGGGGGUCCCCGCCAUGCGCCCCGAUCGCAGCGCCCUCCUGGGCCUCGGGCUCUGUCUGGGCCGGGUGAUCCUCGCGCAGGCAGGUGAGUCUUUUCUUCAAAGGUGCUCAGGGCAGCUCUGGGCGGGGGUCCUGUUGAUUCUGCAGGGCUGGAGGGGGCCCUCGAUGUACCCCACAUUCCAAGUGACCCCGGAGGCAUAACCCCAGCCCACUUCUCUCUGCCUUUCUCCACAGUACCUUGUAGCUCUGCUCAGUGCAUCCAAGACAGCUCACCUUCACAGGACAGCGGGGACCCCCAGCUCUCCCCAUAAAACUAGAUGCCCCUCAGGGUCCCUGGGCAGGGAAAUUGUAGGGGCAAAGGGCAGAAUCUGAGAAUGCAUCCGAACCCCUGCUUCUCUGACCCCUGAUACAUAAUAUACCCCGGGUCCUGUUGAUUUUACCCCGUUUAUACCGUUCCCCCCCCCACCCAGCUACCUCCCCUCUCGCCCCCACGGCCUCCUCCUGGUCUGCGUCCACGCCUGCCCUGGCCUGCCUUCUGCCUUCUGCCUUCACACCAAAGCAACAAUUGUUUGCACUUUAAAACAUGCUCACUUUACUUCCCAUAAAUUGUUUUGUUUAUAAUUUUCAUUAUUUUUAAAAACAUAUUAAGGCAAAUUUUGUUUUCCAUGAAGCCCUCCCAUAGGUGAUCUUUGGGUAGAAUCUCUUUCUUCUGGACUCCUUAUCUUCCCACCACAUCCUGCACCCUGCGGUCUGCUCACAGCUCCAGAUGCCUCUGCUUCCUUCUAGUUCCUCCAACAAGCCAUACUCGAACUUUCUCAAGCGCUGACUUUCCCCCUUACCCUGUCCGCUCAGCUUGGGUAACUUGCACUUGUCCCUCAGAGCUCAGCUCAAGGUGCUCAGAGAGUGGUCAGCAGCCCUCACACCUGUCCUCCUGGAUCCCUGGACUCAACCCUGUGGACACCUAUCUCAGUUUGCAGCUGUGGGUUUGGAGAAUUGUUUGGUGGCCGUUUGUCCUCACUCCUGGAUGCUCAGCUCCAGGGGGGCAGAGAUCCUGAGCAUCUCAUACUUGCAAAACUCAUGGCAGUGGGAGGCAUCUACCAACUAGAGGGAGAAGGAGCCACUAUAUUGCUGGGUGGAUGAGUGAAUGAAUGAGUGACUGAAUGAGUGAAUGAAUAAGUGAAUGAGUGAGUGAAUGAAUGAAUGAGUGAAUGAGCGAGUGAGUGAAUGAGUGAGUGAGUGAAUGAAUGAGUAAAUGAAUGAGUGAAUGAGUGAGUGAAUGAGUGAAUAAAUGAAUGAGUGGAUGUAUGAGUGAAUGAGUGAGUGAGUAAAUGAAUGAGUAGAUGAAUGAGUAAACGAAUGAAUGGUUGAGUGCAGCCUCUGCAGGGUCUGACCCUCGGAUGUGCUAACUCUGACACAACCGUCCUGUCUGAGGCCUCAGACCCAGGCUGCCCCCUCAGGCCGGUUGUGAAAGGCUGGGGAUUUUCAAGAGAUGAAAUAACCAGCAGGUGGAGAGAGGGCAGAGGCAGGGCAGACAGAGAGGGACGCCUGUGCUGGGCUUUACCAGCCCCCACGGGAUUCUCACAGAGCCUUGGGCAUGCCCCUCUCCCAGCCCCAGGCACUGGCCAGCUGCCCCCAACCCCACCUGGGCACUGACCAGCUGCCCCCCAGCCCCACCUGGGCACUGACCAGCUGCCCCCCAGCCCCACCUGGGCACUGACCAGCUGCCCCCAAUCUCACCUGGGCAC
rnacentral:lncRNA from 1 species